rnacentral:rRNA from 1 species
CGAUAACGAACGAGACCUUAACCUGCUAAAUAGUUAGGCCAACGUUUGUUGGUCGUCAACUUCUUAGAGGGACUAUUGACUAUUAGUCAAUGGAAGUUUGAGGCAAUAACAGGUCUGUGAUGCCCUUAGAUGUUCUGGGCCGCACGCGCGCUACACUGAUCAAGUCAACGAGUUUACAACCUUGGCCGGAAGGUCUGGGCAAUCUUUUGAAACUUGAUCGUGCUGGGGAUAGUCCAUUGCAAUUAUUGGACUUCAACGAGGAAUUCCUAGUAAGCGUGAGUCAUCAGCUCGCGUUGAUUACGUCCCUGCCCUUUGUACACACCGCCCGUCGCUACUACCGAUUGAAUGGCU